CCUACGUGGGGCAGCAGUGAGGAAUAUUGGUCAAUGGGCGCGAGCCUGAACCAGCCAAGUAGCGUGAAGGAUGACUGCCCUACGGGUUGUAAACUUCUUUUAUAAAGGAAUAAAGUGAGGCACGUGUGCCUUUUUGUAUGUACUUUAUGAAUAAGGAUCGGCUAACUCCGUGCCAGCAGCCGCGGUAAUACGGAGGUUCCGAGCGUUAUCCGGAUUUAUUGGGUUUAAAGGGAGCGUAGAUGGGUUGUUAAGUCAGUUGUGAAAGUUUGCGGCUCAACCGUAAAAUUGCAAUUGAUACUGGCAGUCUUGAGUACAGUUGAGGUAGGCGGAAUUCGUGGUGUAGCGGUGAAAUGCUUAGAUAUCACGAAGAACUCCGAUUGCGAAGGCAGCUUACUAAACUGCCACUGACAUUGAUGCUCGAAAGUGUGGGUAUCAAACAGGAUUAGAUACCCUAGUAGUC
rnacentral:rRNA from 1 species